rnacentral:rRNA from 1 species
AUUGAACGCUGGCGGCAGGCCUAACACAUGCAAGUCGAGCGGAUGAAGGGAGCUUGCUCCUGGAUUCAGCGGCGGACGGGUGAGUAAUGCCUAGGAAUCUGCCUGGUAGUGGGGGAUAACGUCCGGAAACGGGCGCUAAUACCGCAUACGUCCUGAGGGAGAAAGUGGGGGAUCUUCGGACCUCACGCUAUCAGAUGAGCCUAGGUCGGAUUAGCUAGUUGGUGGGGUAAAGGCCUACCAAGGCGACGAUCCGUAACUGGUCUGAGAGGAUGAUCAGUCACACUGGAACUGGGACACGGUCCAGGCUCCUACGGGAGGCAGCAGUGGGGAAUAUUGGACAUUGGGCGAAAUCCUGGUCCAGCCAUGCCGCGUGUGUGAAGAAGGUCUUCGGAUUGUAAAGCACUUUAAGUUGGGAGGAAGGGCAGUAAGUUAAUACCUUGCUGUUUUGACGUUACCAACAGAAUAAGCACCGGCUAACUUCGUG